CACGUGAGAAUUUACCUUUAGGAGGGGGAUAACAAUUGGGAACGAAAUGCUAAUACCCACUAUGCUUUCGUAGUGAAAUAGGAUUUAUUAAUUUAUUCGCCUAGAGAGAAGCUCGCGGCUGAUUAGCUUGUUGGUAAGGUAAGAGCUUACCAAGGCGACGAUCAGUAUCUGGUUUGAGAGGACGAUCAGACACACUGGAACUGAGACACGGUCCAGACUCCUACGGGAGGCAGCAGUGGGGAAUAUUGGACAAUGGGCGCAAGCCUGAUCCAGCAAUACCUCGUGUGUGAAGAAGGCCUU
rnacentral:rRNA from 1 species